rnacentral:rRNA from 1 species
UACGGAGGGGGCGAGCGUUGUUCGGAAUUACUGGGCGUAAAGGGCGCGUAGGCGGCCAUCUAAGUCAGACGUGAAAUCCCUCGGCUCAACCGAGGAACUGCGUCUGAUACUGGAAGGCUUGAAUCCGGGAGAGGGAUGUGGAAUUCCAGGUGUAGCGGUGAAAUGCGUAGAUAUCUGGAGGAACACCGGUGGCGAAGGCGGCAUCCUGGACCGGUAUUGACGCUGAGGCGCGAAAGCUAGGGGAGCAAACGGG